rnacentral:RNase_P_RNA from 1 species
UCUAUCAGUCGGUCAUCGUUCCGUUUUAUACGGGAAGGAAAGUCCGGACAGCAAAGGGCGACACACCGGUUAACUGCCGGCUUCAUAAAUUAAUUUAUGAAAGAGAAAGUGCCACAGAAAAUAACUGCCCAAGAUUUGAUUUUUCAAAUCCGGUAAAGAUGAAAAUGUGAGGUAAGAGCUCACGGUAAUGAUUAGUAAUAAUGGUUACGGGUAAACCUUGUGUGCUGUAAUGCCACAUAUACCAG